rnacentral:rRNA from 1 species
GACGAACGCUGGCGGCGUGCUUAACACAUGCAAGUCGAACGGUGAAGCUCCAGCUUGCUGGAGUGGAUCAGUGGCGAACGGGUGAGUAACACGUGAGCAACCUGCCCCUGACUCUGGAAUAAGCGCUGGAAACGGCGUCUAAUACUGGAUACGAGAAGGGUCCGCAUGGGCACUUUCUGGAAAGUUUUUCGGUUGGGGAUGGGCUCGCGGCCUAUCAGCUUGUUGGUGAGGUAGUGGCUCACCAAGGCGACGACGGGUAGCCGGCCUGAGAGGGCGACCGGCCACACUGGGACUGAGACACGGCCCAGACUCCUACGGGAGGCAGCAGUGGGGAAUAUUGCACAAUGGGCGAAAGCCUGAUGCAGCGACGCCGCGUGAGGGAUGACGGCCUUCGGGUUGUAAACCUCUUUCAGCAGGGAAGAAGCGAAAGUGACGUUACCUGCAGAAGAAGCACCGGCUAACUACGUG